GACCUCGCUGCAGCAAACAGAAAGGGGCGGGGACGGACCUUUCCGUCAGUCCCAUACCUUAUUUGGAAAUGGGACUAUUGCAUUCCGGAAAUGAAGGGGGCGCUAUUUUCAUAAUCACUAGUAUAAAUGCCUUAAAGACGCGGGGUUAAGAGGAAAGGAAGAAGAAAGAAAGAAGUUUGAAAAGUUUUUGCACUGGUGUUCGGCACACGAUCCAUAAUGCAAAACCCACAAAAUCAACAAAAGGUCCAGAGAAGAACUACAAAAGGAGAGAAAGCG